GGGGAAUAUUGCGCAAUGGGGGAAACCCUGACGCAGCAAUACCGCGUGAGUGAAGAAGGUUUUCAGAUCGUAAAGCUCUGUUAUUGGGGAAGAAAAAAAGACGGUACCUUCAGAAGAAGCACCGGCUAACUACGUUCCAGCAGCCGCGGUGAUACGUAGGGUGCGAGCGUUGUCCGGAAUUAUUGGGCGUAAAGAGCUUGUAGGCGGUCUGUUGCGUCGGAAGUGAAAACUCAGGGCUUAACCCUGAGCCUGCUUUCGAUACGGGCAGACUUGAGGGAUGUAGGGGAGAACGGAAUUCCUGGUGGAGCGGUGGAAUGCGCAGAUAUCAGGAGGAACACCAGUGGCGAAGGCGGUUCUCUGGACAUUUACUGACGCUGAGAAGCGAAAGCGUGGGGAGCAAACA
rnacentral:rRNA from 1 species